rnacentral:tRNA from 1 species
UGGCUCAGUGGUAGAGUGCUUGCCUUGCAUGCAGGAGACCCUGGGUUCGAUUCCUCAG